AGAGUUUGAUCAUGGCUCAGAACGAACGCUGGCGGCGUGGCUAAGACAUGCAAGUCGCGGGGUGAAAAUGAUCCAUAGCAAUAUGGUGAAACACGACCGGCGAAAGGGUGAGUAAUGGAUGGGUAACGUGCCCUGGACACGGGGAUAGCCGUCCGAAAGGACGAUUAAUACCCGAUGACAUCAGCGGUCCACAUGGACGGCUGAUCAAAAGUUGGGGACCGCAAGGCCUGGCGGUCCGGGAUCGGCCCAUCUCCUAUCAGCUAGUUGGUGAGGUAAUGGCUCACCAAGGCUUCGACGGGUAGCGGGACUGAGAGGUUGGCCCGCCACAUUGGCACUGAGACACUGGCCAGACUCCUACGGGAGGCUGCAGUAACGGAUCUUCCGCAAUGGGCGCAAGCCUGACGGAGCGACGCCGCGUGCAGGAGGAAGCCCUUCGGGGUGUAAACUGCUGUCAGGGGUAUGCAAGCAAACCGGGUGAAUAGCCCGGCGAGUUGAGCUAUCCCAGAGGAAGCCACGGCUAACUCUGUGCCAGCAGCCGCGGUAAUACAGAGGUGGCAAGCGUUGUUCGGAAUCACUGGGCUUAAAGGGCGCGCAGGUGGUCGGAAGGGUGUCUUGUGAAAUCCCUCGGCUCAACCGAGGAACUGCGGGGCAAACCGUCCGACUUGAGGCAGAUAGGGGCUGAUGGAACUCUGGGUGGAGCGGUGAAAUGCGUAGAUAUCCAGGGGAACGCCAAUAGCGAAAGCAGUCAGCUGGGUCUGUCCUGA
rnacentral:rRNA from 1 species